CGUGGUCACGGGAGUUCACUGCCUAUCCCGGGGUUUCACGCACUUUAUCCAAAAUUGUGAGAAAACAGGGAAGAAAACGGAAAUUCCAAGAACAUACGAUUCUAGAUAAUUAAUUUUUCUAUCGAUUCGUAUAUAAAUUGUGCCUGAUAAACGUUUUUAUCGAAAGAUUUCGUGCGAGUUGUAAAAAUAAAUGAGUUUUUCCUUCUUCUUUCGCACGCACACAAUGUCAACGCAUGCAUUGGGGUGUUGUCAUUUUGCGGUAGACGCUAACAACGUUUCUUUUGUUUUCGUUUUCCGUUCUCUCUGCGUAAACGUUGAAUAUAGAUGAGUAGAAAAUCCAAUUUGUAAGUUCAACUCGAUUCUAUCGAACUGCCAUGAUGUGGUUAUUGUUAUGUGUGCUAUGGUUGAAUUUUCAUGGAACUGAAAAUAUUGCUCUAACCAAGAGGUUUAUUAUGAGACCGGCAGAUAUUUUCCCUAACCACGAAUGUUUGAAUCACGAUAUAAUGUUUUUUUAGCGUGAAUAAGCUUGUAGUACUAGCCAUUGUAUGACUGUAGGGGAAAGCAAGAUUUUUCUGCUAUGCAAGUUUGGGAGUUGUCGUUUGCUGAAAAAUAACUAAACUGAAAAUAUCAAUAGGCAGCUUUUCGAUGUAGGGUUCUGCUACGACUAAAUAAGCAUUUCAUCCGCCAUUUCUUCGACAUACUAAUUUUCUCAAAACAGUCACUUUACGGACAUUUCGAAGGGCAAAGCGAACAUUGUAAAGACAUAAGGUCUCUUGUUGUGUGUCAUACCAUUGAUUUGUUGUGAGACAUAUUAUACGGCUGCUGGAGUAUUAUGUCUA